rnacentral:rRNA from 1 species
AUUGAACGCUGGCGGCAUGCCUUACACAUGCAAGUCGAACGGUAACAGGUCUUCGGAUGCUGACGAGUGGCGAACGGGUGAGUAAUACAUCGGAACGUGCCCGAGAGUGGGGGAUAACGAGGCGAAAGCUUUGCUAAUACCGCAUACGAUCUCAGGAUGAAAGCAGGGGACCGCAAGGCCUUGCGCUCACGGAGCGGCCGAUGGCAGAUUAGGUAGUUGGUGGGAUAAAAGCUUACCAAGCCGACGAUCUGUAGCUGGUCUGAGAGGACGACCAGUCACACUGGGACUGGGACACGGCCCAGACUCCUACGGGAGGCAGCAGUGGGGAAUUUUGGACAAUGGGCGCAAGCCUGAUCCAGCCAUGCCGCGUGCAGGAUGAAGGCCUUCGGGUUGUAACUGCUUUUGUACGGAACGAAAAGACUCUGGUUAAUACCUGGGGUCCAUGACGGUACCGUAAGAAUAAGCACCGGCUAACUACGUGCCAGCUGCCGCCGUAAAAC